UCAAUUUUUUUUGGAUUUGAACCCUAACAAUUUUUUAGCGGGAUGAAAAUCAAAAAAAAUCCUUUUGGCCGGGAUUAUUUCCCGCUUGGUUUUUUGGAAUAGCUAUAAAUUUAAACCCUAAAGUCAAUUAAGAGAUGUUAAAGAGAUUUAUCUUUUCGAGGGAUUAUUAGAGAUCAAAAACAGCGAGAUGACUGGAGGAAUUAUGACCACUCUUUGUUCGGUUGAAAGCAUCCCCACAUUCAACUGUUCUCCCUCGUCUCCUAGACGAAGCCCCAUAUUGUCUGAAUCAGGUCAUGAUGAACUGCAUGAUGAGCUGCAUGGAACGAUCACAAGUGAAGGAUCGGUAUACAGGUGGUAGGAAAGGUGUACCUAGAACGUGGCUUGAAAUGGAAAAAGAAAGUCCCACUGGUGAGAUAUAUAGGACAGACGUGUUUGUGAAGACACAUAAAGUCACCCCAGACGAUAAUCCCUCAUCUUCUAAAUCACUGGCAGCUGCAACAUUAGCAUUGGUGAAGAGGAAUAUGAUAAAGAUCCUUUAGCACAAAAGUGUUUGGGAACCGACGCUGUUACCAAGAUUUUUGGCGCUGAUGGAAAGGGGUAAUGGGUGCUGGUGUUUCUAAAUCUCAGUUUCUUGCUGUUAAGUUUAUGAAGACCAGGUUGCAGAAAGAGAAGCAGAAAGCCGAAGCUUUGAAAGCACAGUUGGAUGUUGAAAGACAGAAAAACAACACUGGAGUACAUGAUCAUAUCUCUAAUACCUCUUACCAGCAGGAUAUUGGUAUGCCAGUGAUACCCUCGUCGUUUGGUAUUUUCUUUUUGAGCUUAAGGAAAAAGCCGGUUGCAGUUGCAUAUGUCGAAACUAAGGUGCUGAUUGAUGACGAUUACGACUGCAUGCUUCAAGGAGUCAUUGAGCCAAAUGCAAUGUUGUGCGACAGAGAUGAUGUUGUACUUCAAGAUGUUCCUAUAGGUACUCUUAUUAGGUGUCCAAGGGCCUAUGUGACUCCCAUAGCAGAGCUAUCAAGUUAGAGCGGCAGUGACAAUAAAUUGAUUACUUUUUUGAGU